AGAGAACCAAAUCAAAUCUAGAGGUAAAAG
rnacentral:piRNA from 1 species